UCUGGGCUACUGCAGGAGGUGCUCUGGGGUGGACGGACUGCUGUAUGAAGAGGACUGCUCAGCUGUAUGGAGAUGGUGGUCAAGUCAAAGGUGGAAUAUUAGACAGUGCUGGAGGAUGACAGCCAAGGAAGAGAUUCCUGGGUACUCAUUGCUUUCUGACCUGACACUUCAAUGCACUGCUUGCCCAGAGACAGCGUAAGAGCUCAGCCUCUCAUCCCAAAGGAUCCUGAAGAGUAAUUGUAAUAACCUGGCAUACAAAAUAUACGCAGAAAUCAAUUUGCCCACCAUUGAAACGUAGCCACAACUGGAGGGGUUGCGAGCAAGCGACUGCUUAGCAGAAAACUGUGCGAGGCUGCAGUGCUGUUCCCGUUUGAGUGACGGGGCGAGGUAAUUACCUGAGCUGGCUGUUGGCCAGAAGAGCGGGGUUUGCCCAUAGGGCUGCACAGCAGCGUGCUGAGAAGAGGAGAUGCCACCGUGAGCGCUCAGGACCUUGGGCAUUUGGAUUGCCCAGUGACCACCAGCAGCUGAGCACUCAUCCAGCAGGGAGACGGUGCUGGCGAAGCCCCUGCCAGCCCAGCGCCGCAUCCAGCCUGCUCGGGACGGUCUCACUUUAUGGGGAGCUUGGACGAGGCUGAAGCACAUCUGAAACAAGCGCUCGUGUUCUCCUGCCUCGGAGGGAGAGCGGGGCUUGCUGUAACUUCGCAGUCCCACGUAGCAUGAACUCUGCUGGUUUUAACCUCGGGGACUGCAAAGCGCCAGACUUUCCUUGACCAUUCGCAGCUCGAGAAAGCUGGCAUUCAAUAAGCCGAGCAGGUGGAGGAGAGCGGGGAAGAGGUUUUGCAUCCAUUGGUUGCCAGUCAUGAAAAGAGAAAUUGUUGUAUUGUCAGGAUGCCAUUGUCUGUCCGAGAUGACGUCAUUCAUGUGCUGACAGGUCUCAUUCAUUCACUUGCACCACUUCAGAUACGACAAACAAACCAGGCACACAUCUCCUACAUGAGUGUCCCAGAAAAUAAAUUAACUCUUUCAGUCCCAGGGCCAAAAAAAAAAAAAGAAAAAAAAAAAACCAAAAAAACACAAAACGCACGCCUUUUGGUGCAGAAUUCAAAAUUCCUCCACCACUUACCAUGUGCUAGCUUUUCCCACAUGCCAGAAAUAGCCAACACCAGGGAAAAUAGAGAAGACUCAUUCUGAGGAACUGAGCCCACAGCAACAGUCCAGUGUAAUGGUGAAGACAGCCCAAAGGUAUGCAGAAGCACAGCAGCAGUGAGCCUUAGGGUCAGUCUCAGAGAUGAAGAGGUAGGAGCUGCCUUUACCUGGCCUCCAAAUAAACCUUGGAAGGAGUAUGGGGAGGGCUCCUGUUAGUACCAUUAAGAGCUUGAGACCUAGUCCUAGCCCAGAUGUUAGCUUGCUAAAACACUAUUCUGACGAGAUAGUCAGGAGUUUUAGCCUUCACAGAGAAACAACAGUCAGGAUGAGAUGGUAUAUCACCAAAUAAGCUACUUUAUUCAGCCCUGAAAACAUAGGAUCAGCCUUGAAGAGACUUUUAAAGAUUGAAAUAAGAGGAAGAUACAGUUUCAAUUUAGUCUCUCUCUUUCUCUCUUUCUCUUGCUGUGAUUAAAAUAUGUGACUGAUCUUGGAAGCUCUAAAGCAGCUUGUACAAAAACCAUACUAACAGCUUUCACAGUAAUGGAACUUUUAGUCAAAGUUGGGCUGUCUGGUUUCUUUUGCUUUCCCAUGAAUCUUCCUCAUGCCUUUUUUUUUUCCCCAUUCUGUUCCAUAUAGAUUUUGGUCUUUCCUUUAUUAAAAAGAAAUGGCUCUCCCCACUGAGUCACUUAUCUAAUAAUAGCUAGAACCUUUCAACACAAAUGAUUUGAUUCCUUUUUUUUUUUUUCUUUUUCCCCCUUAAGUAAACAUACGGUUAGGGUAUUACUCGGAGAGUGGCAAUAGAAAUACCAUAGUCAAAUUAUCAUGUGACUCAAUUUUGCAAAGUGCACUGAAUCUUUUUUUUUAAUGCAUUUCACAAGUAUUUGGUGGUAACCUCUAACACCACAGUGGUUUCUCUUUUACAGUAGCUCAAUUUUGCAACUCUGAAUACCGUGGGCUUUUUUUGGUUUUUUUUUUUUUUUUUGAAGGGAAGCUACCCAAAGGCUUCUAUAAAACAUUCUUGAGCCUUUGGGAAUGAGCCAAUUUAAUUUAAGGGUAUCAUUCCCUUUCAAAGAGCUGAAGGAUUUGAAGAAACGCAGUCUGCUUUCUGAACAGUGUGAGAUGAAUAUAGUUGUGGUCUCAUUAGAAAGCAAGCUACAGAGUUUAGAUACAGAUCUAAAGUUUUUCAGAGUUCAGCAGGGGCCAGAUCCAGGCUCUCCAUUUGUCAGCUGUAUUUUCCUGCAGCAUUCAUUUUGCGACAGCCCCUCGCACUGAGUCUGCUCCGGAGCAUGUGAACAUGUGCAUCAGGAGGAGCUGGCAAAGGACAUAGCUGGCAGCCAAAGUUUCUGUCAGUCACUGGCCUUAAAAUAGCAGGAGAGGUCCCUCAGGAGAGUCAGGAAUCACUGACAGAAAUUGUUAGCUCUUAUUUUCAGCUGUUACAUCACUGCAUUUGAGAAAACAUUGGAGAAAGGACUGAUGUUGCUCUAAGCUAACAUUACGCCCCUGAACCAUGCUCACCAUGAGGCAGUCAGGCCCUGCCUGCUCUUUUUGCAAGGUCAGAGGACAGUCCUGAGAUGUGCGCUGCUCCACAAGGCCUCGCAGAGAAUGACUUUUGCAACCAUCACAUUUCUUUUCUGUUACUCCUAUUGCAAUGUUUCAUUUCCAUACGGUCGCUGAUAGGAAUAGUGCUAAAUACUCAUGCCAUCAUGGUGGAGGCUGGAGGAAAGUAUUUUUGCCUGGUUUAUGUGAAAACACUGGGGAAAAGAAAAAUAGGCUUCUAUGUAAUAGAGUAAUGAGCCCAGCAGUUCUGGGCAGACAGCAUGAUCCAUGCUCUGUUUGCUUUGAAGAUCAGUUUGCUUUUAAGUGCUAAUUUUAUAUUUUCUAUUGAAAAAUAGAGAGGAGUACAGGGAAUAAACUCCCAGUGAUCCAAGGGGCAAAUACAAAGUUCUGAAAAUGCCUCCUGAAAGCUACAGUCAUCUCAGUCCUCGUGCAAAUGAGCAUCCACACUCAGCAGUUGCAGGCAUACAAACAUCUCCAUCCGUCACCUCACAGCACAGUCAGACCAAAAAAAAACCUGCCAGAGCCACCGAGACGCUCGGUCACAUCUAGCUUUAUUUUAUCCCAUCAGAAAAGUUCAAGAAUUACACCAAAAAUACUUCAGUCUCUGCUACCUACUGACAAAAAAUACACCACAAAAUUAUAAACUG